UACGAAGGGGGCUAGCGUUGCUCGGAAUCACUGGGCGUAAAGCGCACGUAGGCGGAUUCCUAAGUCAGGGGUGAAAUCCUGGAGCUCAACUCCAGAACUGCCUUUGAUACUGGCGAUCUCGAGUCCGGGAGAGGUGAGUGGAACUGCGAGUGUAGAGGUGAAAUUCGUAGAUAUUCGCAAGAACACCAGUGGCGAAGGCGGCUCACUGGCCCGGUACUGACGCUGAGGUGCGAAAGCGUGGGGAGCAAACAGG
rnacentral:rRNA from 1 species